GACGAACGCUGGCGGCGUGGAUUAGGCAUGCAAGUCGAACGGUAGGAUACCUUCGGGUAUCUGAGAGUGGCGAACGGGUGAGUAACACGUAGGUGAUCUACCCUCAAGAUUGGGACAACCCAGGGAAACUUGGGCUAAUACCGGAUGAAAGCAGCAGCGAUGUUGUUUGAAAGGUGGCGUAAGCUGCCGUUUGGGGAUGAGCCUGCGCUCUAUUAGUUAGUUGGCGGGGUAAAGGCCCACCAAGGCGAUGAUAGAUAGGCGGCCUUAACGGGUGGUCGCCCACACUGGGAUUGAGAUACGGCCCAGACUCCUACGGGAGGCAGCAGUCGAGAAUAGUCUACAAUGGCCGAAAGGCUGAUAGUGCGACGCCGCGUGAACGAAGAAGCCCUUCGGGGUGUAAAGUUCUUUUAUAUGUGAGCAGUGCUUUCUAUGUGAACAGCAUGGGGAGAGAGAUAUUAGCAUAUGAAUAAGCAACGGCUAACUCCGUGCCAGC
rnacentral:rRNA from 1 species